rnacentral:rRNA from 1 species
CACUAUAGCCAUGCCACCCUGAACACACCUGACCUCUUCUGAUCUGGGAAGCUAAGCAGGCCUGGGCCUGGUUAGGGCUUGGAUAGUAGAGAGAGAUAGAGGUUUUAGCCU